GACGAACGCUGGCGGCGCGCCUAACACAUGCAAGUCGAACGAGCGAGAGAGAGCUUGCUUUCUCAAGCGAGUGGCGAACGGGUGAGUAACGCGUGAGGAACCUGCCUCAAAGAGGGGGACAACAGUUAGAAAUGACUGCUAAUACCGCAUAAGACCACAGCACCGCAUGGUGCAGGGGUAAAACUCCGGUGGUAUGAGAUGGAUCCGCGUCUGAUUAGCUAGUUGGUAAGGUAACGGCUUACCAAGGCAACGAUCAGUAGCCGACCUGAGAGGGUGACCGGCCACAUUGGGACUGAGACACGGCCCAA
rnacentral:rRNA from 1 species